rnacentral:rRNA from 1 species
CCUACGGGUCGCAGCAGUAGGGAAUCUUUCACAAUGGGCGAAAGCCUGAUGGAGCAACGCCGCGUGCAGGAUGAAGGCCUUCGGGUUGUAAACUGCUUUUAUAAGCGAGAAAUAUGAUGGUAACUUAUGAAUAAGGAUCGGCUAACUACGUGCCAGCAGCCGCGGUCAUACGUAGGAUCAGGGCAUUAUCCAGAGUGACUGGGUGUAAAGAGUUGCGUAGGUGGCAUAAUAAGUAGCUAGUGAAAUCUGGUGGCUCAACCAUUCAGACUAUUAGCUAAACUGUUAAGCUCGAGACCGUUAGGGGUAACUGGAAUUUCUAGUGUAGGAGUGAAAUCCGUAGAUAUUAGAAGGAACACCAAUAGCGUAGGCAGGUUGCUGGGACGGUUCUGACACUAAGGCACGAAAGCGUAGGGAGCAAACGGGAUUAGAUACCCCAGUAGUC